rnacentral:misc_RNA from 1 species
AGGGCUGAUACAUCCUUAACGAUAGAGCGUCGCUCGCGUUAAGUGCUCACACGAAUUACUUGAUCAAUGUGUUAGCUGAUGAAAGUUCAGAAGCAAGACUGCUAACAACCUAGCUUAGGUUGGUUUAGUCGUUUUCUUUCUGGUUUUACACCAGUUGCUCUUUAACAAAAUAAUCUUAGCCAAGUUUUAAAAUCACAUACGUAACGAUCGGUUUUCGAGUCGUGAAUUUACGAAUGAUGUUCAAUUUAAACUUGUUAAAACAAAUUAGAUUGUUGUCCUCGGACGAUAAUCGACGAUGUUUUUUCAAGCGUUUUAAUCCGGCAAUAUCAAAUGAAGCGGCUUUUAGUCGAAUCGCUUCAUAUCAGUCGUUUACCGUAGACCCGAUUAUUUCGGUUAUAUGGUCAAGUGACUAAGCGUAUACGGUGGAUGCCUUGGC